rnacentral:rRNA from 1 species
GACGAACGCUGGCGGCGUGCCUAAUACAUGCAAGUAGGACGCAGUUGCGAACGGGUGAGUAACGCGUAGGUAACUAGCUAUUAGAGGGGGAUAACUAUUGGAAACGAUAACUAAUACCGCAUACUAGUAGAUGGAACUGCGUUGGAUUAGCUAGUAGGUAGGGUAAUGGCCUACCUAGGCAACGAUACAUAACCGACCUGGGAGGGUGUUCGGCCCCACUGGGAAUGGUAAACGGCCCAGACUCCUUCGGGAGGCAGCAGGAGGGAAUCGUCGGAAAUGGGGGGAACCCUGACCGCGCAACGCCGCGUGAGUUAAGAAGGUUUUCGGAGCUGAAAGGUCUGUUGUUAAGGAAGCGGUACUUAACGAGAAAGGGACGGCUAACUACGUGCCAGCAGCCGCGGUAAUAC